AAGCCUGGCUCUAGGAGAACACACGGCCCUCUGAGGGAAGUGCUGCUAUUAUUUCACCUUAUAGAUGAAAACCAGGAGGCUGACUGGGGAAGACGAUGGGUUUAUUUCUGGACAUAGAGAAUUGCAGGUGACAUAAAUUCUAAAAGGGGAUUCCCAAGACAGUCGAAACCCACGGAAACUGCUGGGUGCGCAGUGUAUACCUGUAAUCCCAGCAUCUUGGUAGGUAAAGAGGGGGGGAUCACUUGGGCCAAGGAGUUCAAGGUCAGUCUGGACAACACAGUGAGACCCUAUCUCAAGAAUAAAUAAAACACUGAACCUGGAGAAUGGUAGGGAAGAGGGUACCGCUGGGGAAGAAGGAUGCAGGGCAUAUAGAUUUCCAUACAGAGCCUCACGCAUCUUUUGAGUUUUGAUCAUAUUGAGGUAGGUAGAAGGAUUAAGAACAGGCAGAAAGGAGAGAAACAGGGAAGGAGAGGGACUGUAACUUUAAAACUCCAUGAACACCUUCUCCUUUAAUCUCCAGGAAAUCCUCUUUUCCUCCAGGUCUGAAUUCUUCAAAGGUCCAGUAAACCUUAGAGUACUGUCAGUCCAAUUAAUUGGUGCCCAUAUACCUUGUUAGCUUACAGGAUGUAUUUUAGAAUAAUUAAAAGAAGCCCAGAGAGAGAUUGCUAGACACCUCUGAUACGGUCCAGUCCAAGCGCUGUUAACUAGAUAACGUCAACAUGAAGACUCUGAGAAGAACCAGACCACCUAGACCAGCUCUGGGAUCCACCUUCAAAAGAACUGAGCUCAUUAGGCGGAUGCCACCUGGUGAGGGCACAUCCUGAGACAUGCAUCGUUAAUCAGUUUCAUCAUGGCUGACUACCGCAUACUGCCACCAGCCCACAGGGGAUGGAUAGUCCCUGGAAGUCACCUCUGGACUGCAGGAAAAGACAUGAUAAACACGAGACGCAUGAAACUGCUGUCAACAGAAUAUGGCCGACUGCUUGACGUGCUAGGGAUCAAUCCAUGGCCUCAUGCCUGCCAGACACUCUACCACGGAGCCCCAUCCCCAGCCCUUGUAAUUGGCUUUCUACCUGCUUGAGUAGAAUACUCAAGUCUGGUUGAAGGUGGUGGGUUUCAUUUCUGCUACACUGGAACUUGAUGGGGUGGAGCAGGAAGUUUAGGGGAAAUGGUUUAGGGGAUGUUUCUGUGGGUGGUGCCUAACUAUAGGGCUUUAGUCUUGUUUGAGAAGGGAGAUUAAGAACUUUUGGUUUUGUGAGCCAGAAAAUCAUAUACCAAUGACAGAGCAAUGGCUCAGGUAGUUUCCAUCAUCACCUGCCAUGACAGACGGUGAGCAUGGGCCAGUGAAGGAGGCAUGGUGGACGACAGUGUUCCCGUCAGGUGGCUGGCCUGGAGAGGGUGUGUGGCUGAGACUCCAUGCACAGCCUCCAUCCCAAUUUGCUUCUUGGAUUUGCAAGAGGAUGCCAGGUCCUGAGACUGAUGACCAGCACCUUCCCCACGGAUCCUGCUCUUGGCGCUAUCCACCCCUUACUCCCUCAAGAGUCUUCUCAUCUCUCAACACCUCUGAACAUAGGAUUGGCUUCAGAAUGGAGUGACUUAAAACUCGAAUUAUAGCUGAGUAUGGUGGUACCUGUCAUCCAGCAACUGGGGAGGCUGAGGCCAGCCUGGACAGCUUAUCGAGCCUCUGUCACAAAGCAAAACACUUGAAUUACUGAAACACGAUAUCUUGAUUUCAAGAAUGGAAAAAAAAAUUAAAUAUGGCAAAAAUCAAGUCUUGUGAAAUAUUCCUCUGGUCUCCACCUACAGUGACCUUUUUUCUUUUGUGGUACUAGGGAUUGAACUGAGGAUCUGACUCACGCUAGGCAAGCUGUACCAUGAUCUACAACCCCAGGCCCCAAGUUGUCCUUUCUUUUCUUCUAAUUUUCUUUUUGUCCCCCCAGUGCUAAGGAUGGAGUCCAGAGCCUCAUGCCUGCUGGGCAAGUGCCCCACCACGAGCCGGCUCCAGCCCCCUCCAGGCAUCUGAGACGUCUGAAGGCAGCCUUUGCUCAGCCACAGAAUCUCAUCAAUGUAGUCGUUCUGUUUUUGGACCCUCCAGUACCUACACAGCUCUGGACUGGGAGGAAACAGUGCCGACACUCAGAGCAAAUGUAAAUAUUAGUUCCACUGAAUCAAGAACCUGGGUGCUAAGCCUGUCUGUGCCCUGGGCUCCCAGGGGAAGUUGGGCUUUGUUUCUAGCUUAUCUCCAAGGUCUCCUGCAACCCUAAAAUCUAUGAGAAGUAAAAUGUUUUGCAGUGCUGUUGGUACUCUGAGCUGCUUCUCAAGGUGCAGGUCUGAUUUGCUAGGAACUGGCUGCACUCUAAACCCCUGGGCCAGCCCCUGGUUGCUUCCUACAUGCCCCACUGCCUUUGAUCCUCGGAUAGACCAGCUCUCCUGCCUCUGAGCAGCUCUGUUGGACACUUUUUCCCCACAUUUGCAAAUGCAGUUAUUUCUCAUCACUGGGGCCUCGCUGAAAUGCGGUCUCUCAGAAGUCUUCCUUGACUUUGUAUCUAGAGGGAGCAUCUCCCCGAGGCCAAUGCUUUCCAUGACAUCAUCCCACUUGUGUCCCUACAGUGCUUAUUACAACACACAAGCAUCUCCCAGGUCACUGGCUCCUUAUCACGCUCCCCCCACAGACAACACACUGCAAGGACAGGAAACUGUCUUUAUUCUUUUUCUCUAUAUCUGCAGAAUCAGGCUUCCAGGAACCUAUUUAAUGCCUUUUCUGAAACAGAAAAGUCUGCUCCUUCCUCUGAGAACACCUAUGCCUGGCUGGGCACUGGCCUGCUGGGCUACCCAUGGCCUGGAUUUCAGCCCCUCCUUGCUCCUUGACCAGUUGUUCUUGGUCAGUGAACAACCCACACAACUAUGUACACUCUCCGAUGACCAGUACCUUGCAAGGAACCUGGCAGAUUAUAGAAACUUCAUUUAAUUGGAUGAGUACAUCAAAUUUAUUGAGGUAUACAAUUUCUCUAUAAUAAAAUUCACUAUUUUAACUGUUUAGUGCAGUGAGUUUUUGACAGAUGUUGUACCCAG